CAGCUCUUCAGCCACUGAAUUAAUAUCCAGACGUGGAGUGUUUUCACGAAAUCAUUACGGAUCAGUAGACCAGUUGCCUCAGUCCGAAUUAGAUGGGAUUGAUCCAAAUUUUAAGCGAUUCCGUGUGGAGACUGGAGAUUCGCUUGCUGAAAAAGAUGAGGUCUUUGGCUCGCCUAGCACACCGAUAUUGGAAAAUCCUGAACAUCAAACACGUUGGUAUUUUAAAUAUUUCCUCG